rnacentral:rRNA from 1 species
GAUGAACGCUGGCGGCGUGCUUAACACAUGCAAGUCGAACGGAAAGGCCCUGCUUGCAGGGUCCUCGAGUGGCGAACGGGUGAGUAACACGUGGGUGAUCUGCCCUGUACUUUGGGAUAAGCCUGGGAAACUGGGUCUAAUACCGAAUAUGACAAUUGUUUGGAUGCGAUUGUGGAAAGCUUUUGCGGUAUGGGAUGAGCUCGCGGCCUAUCAGCUUGUUGGUGGGGUAAUGGCCUACCAAGGCGUCGACGGGUAGCCGGCCUGAGAGGGUGUACGGCCACAUUGGGACUGAGAUACGGCCCAGACUCCUACGGGAGGCAGCAAUGGGGAAUAUUGCACAAUGGGCGCAAGCCUGAUGCAGCGACGCCGCGUGGGGGAUGACGGCCUUCGGGUUGUAAACUCCUUUCGCAACCGACGAAGCCUUUUGGUGACGGUAGGUUGAGAAGAAGCACCGGCUAACUACGUG